CAGUGAUAAACUGGAGGAAGGUGGGGAUGACGUCAAGUCAUCAUGGCCCUUACGACCAGGGCUACACACGUGCUACAAUGGCGCAUACAAAGAGAAGCGACCUCGCGAGAGCAAGCGGACCUCAUAAAGUGCGUCGUAGUCCGGAUUGGAGUCUGCAACUCGACUCCAUGAAGUCGGAAUCGCUAGUAAUCGUGGAUCAGAAUGCCACGGUGAAUACGUUCCCGGGCCUUGUACACACCGCCCGUCACACCAUGGGAGUGGGUUGCAAAAGAAGUAGGUAGCUUAACCUUCGGGAGGGCGCUUGCCACUUUGUGAUUCAUGACUGGGGUGAAGUCGUAACAAGGUAACCGUAGGGGAACCUGCGGUUGGAUCACCUCCUUACCUUAAAGAAGC
rnacentral:rRNA from 1 species